rnacentral:rRNA from 1 species
CGCAGCCGCGGUACCUCCGCUCCAUAGCGUAUAUUAAAGUUGUUGCAGUUAAAAAGCUCGUAGUUGGAUUUCUGUUAAUAAUUAUAUAAAAUAUUUUGAUGAAUAUUUAUAUAAUAUUAACAUAAUUCAUAUUACUAUUUUUUUUUUUAUAUUAAAAAAUUUUUUUUGAAAAAAAUAGUGGUGUUAAAAGGCGGCUUCCCCCUUUACUCCCCCACGGGGGAAUAUUAUAAAAAUUUUUUUUUUUUUUUGGUGGUUUUAAAAAAAAAAUAAUGUUUAAGGGCCGCUGGGGGGGCUUUUUUUUUACAACCGGAGGGGGGAAACUUUUAUUUUUUGAAAACAAACAACUGCGGCAGAAUUUUUGCGGGGGUUUUUUUUUUUAAACAACAACAAAAUGGGGGGGUCGACACCAUAAACCCCCGUCGUAUUUUAACCAACAAUUUCGCCCAGUGGGGGGGGGGGGUGCCC